GGGUGUCGACAUCACUGGAGUCGUUUCAUUUGCAUCUAAACAGAUUCAUUUCAAGAACCAGUGCAAGUGGCCUGCACUAUCAGACCUAUCUGUUGGAGGGGAUUUCGAGAUGGAAUUCUGAUCGUGCUGCUGCUCUAUCCCCUCCUUCAGAUCUUCCACUUAUGAUGAAACACUCCUUCACGCUGCCAACGUGGUAAACAAUAGAUGUUUUGGCCAAGAGGUGGAACCAGGUACUCUUCAGUUCGGAAAAUACACAGGAGAACUGAUUGGCAUUGAGUACCUCUUGGACCAGAAGCAGAUGUUGUUUCAGUCGGACCCCGCCGAUCCUGAUGAGCUUGUGAAAGACCCUCCACUUUCGGAUGUCAACCAUGACAACUUGGAUGACGAGGGCUUUCAAGAAGCAGAGGGCGACAUAACUGUCCAGCUUCUGGAGUCUGACAAGCUCACUAAAUGUGAUGUUUCCUGGGUGCAUAUACCGGCCCUGCACAAUGGCCCUACUGCAACCGCUAUGUUGAGUGCAUCUUCUCCAAACUUUGUGCCCUUCACCCUGGUCAGGCGCGGGUUGGCCGAAAAGUUAUACAAAGAUAGACGAUGGUGAUUCGCUCCUCCUACAAACACAUACGGGAUUUAUGGCAGAAUAAAAAAUACAGCUGCCAGAAAUAAAUACUACAACAUUGAUACAAUGGUAAACAUUUUAUGCCCUUAAUUUCAGUAUUUCACAUUUGCAUUCGUAACCACUAUUUGUCUUAAGGUACAACAAGACGGAAAAGAAGAAAGAAGCCAAUGUUCUACAGCAAGGGAUCAGACUGGAAGAGUCAAGCUUGACCUUCUCACAACCAGUACC